UGGGGAAUAUUGGACAAUGGGGGCAACCCUGAUCCAGCAAUGCCGCGUGUGUGAAGAAGGUCUUCGGAUUGUAAAGCACUUUCGACGGGGACGAUGAUGACGGUACCCGUAGAAGAAGCCCCGGCUAACUUCGUGCCAGCAGCCGCGGUAAUACGAAGGGGGCUAGCGUUGCUCGGAAUGACUGGGCGUAAAGGGCGUGUAGGCGGUUUACACAGUCAGAUGUGAAAUCCCCGGGCUUAACCUGGGAGCUGCAUUUGAUACGUGUAGACUAGAGUGUGAGAGAGGGUUGUGGAAUUCCCAGUGUAGAGGUGAAAUUCGUAGAUAUUGGGAAGAACACCGGUGGCGAAGGCGGCAACCUGGCUCAUGACUGACGCUGAGGCGCGAAAGCGUGGGGAGCAAACAGGAUUAGAUACCCUGGUAGUCCACGCUGUAAACGAUGUGUGCUAGAUGUUGGGUAACUUUGUUAUUCAGUGUCGCAGUUAACGCGUUAAGCAC
rnacentral:rRNA from 1 species